UAUUAGGUUGGUGCAAAAGUAAUUGUGGUUCUUGCAAUAUUUUUAAUGGCAAAACCCACAAUUUCGUUUGCACCA
rnacentral:miRNA from 1 species